GGCGGACGGGUGAGUAAUGCCUAGGAAUCUGCCUGGUAGUGGGGGACAACGUUUCGAAAGGAACGCUAAUACCGCAUACGUCCUACGGGAGAAAGUGGGGGAUCUUCGGACCUCACGCUAUCAGAUGAGCCUAGGUCGGAUUAGCUAGUUGGUGAGGUAAAGGCUCACCAAGGCGACGAUCCGUAACUGGUCUGAGAGGAUGAUCAGUCACACUGGAACUGAGACACGGUCCAGACUCCUACGGGAGGCAGCAGUGGGGAAUAUUGGACAAUGGGCGAAAGCCUGAUCCAGCCAUGCCGCGUGUGUGAAGAAGGUCUUCGGAUUGUAAAGCACUUUAAGUUGGGAGGAAGGGCAGUAAGUUAAUACCUUGCUGUUUUGACGUUACCAACAGAAUAAGCACCGGCUAACUUCGUGCCAGCAGCCGCGGUAAUACGAAGGGUGCAAGCGUUAAUCGGAAUUACUGGGCGAUAAGCGCGCGUAGGUGGUUCGUUAAGUUGGAUGUGAAAGCCCCGGGCUCAACCUGGGAACUGCAUCCAAAACUGGCGAGCUAGAGUAUGGCAGAGGGUGGUGGAAUUUCCUGUGUAGCGGUGAAA
rnacentral:rRNA from 1 species